AUAGUACUGUUUCCUCUGCGGCGGAACGCUGCAGUAAGAAUGUCUUUCCCCCCUCAUUUGAAUCGCCCUCCCAUGGGAAUCCCAGCACUUCCACCAGGGAUUCCACCCCCACAGUUUCCUGGUUUUCCUCCACCUGUACCGCCAGGAACUCCAAUGAUUCCUGUACCAAUGAGCAUUAUGGCUCCUGCUCCAACUGUCUUAGUGCCCACAGUAUCCAUGGUUGGAAAGCAUUUGGGAGCCAGAAAGGACCAUCCGGGCUUAAAGAGUAAAGAAAAUGAUGAAAAUUGUGGUCCCACUACUACAGUUUUUGUUGGAAACAUUUCUGAGAAAGCUUCAGACAUGCUUAUAAGACAGCUCCUAGCUAAAUGUGGUCUGGUUUUAAGCUGGAAGAGGGUACAGGGUGCUUCUGGAAAACUUCAAGCCUUUGGAUUCUGUGAGUAUAAGGAGCCUGAAUCUACCCUCCGUGCACUCAGGUUAUUACAUGACCUGCAGAUUGGAGAGAAGAAGCUGCUUGUUAAAGUUGAUGCAAAGACAAAGGCACAGCUUGAUGAAUGGAAAGCAAAGAAGAAAGCCUCAAAUGGGAACGCCAGACCAGAGACCGUCACUACUGAUGAUGAAGAAGCCUUAGAUGAAGAAACAAAAAGAAGAGAUCAGAUGAUUAAAGGGGCCAUUGAAGUAUUAAUACGCGAAUACUCCAGUGAGCUCAAUGCCCCUUCACAGGAGUCUGAUGCUCAUCCUAGGAAGAAAAAGAAAGAAAAGAAAGAAGACAUUUUUCGCAGAUUUCCAGUGGCCCCAUUGAUUCCUUACCCACUCAUCACUAAGGAGGAUAUAAAUGCUAUAGAAAUGGAAGAGGACAAAAGAGAUCUGAUAUCCCGAGAGAUCAGCAAAUUCAGAGACACACACAAGAAACUGGAAGAAGAGAAAGGCAAAAAGGAGAAAGAAAGACAGGAAAUUGAGAAAGAACGGAGAGAAAGAGAGAGGGAGCGUGAAAGGGAACGAGAAAGGCGAGAACGGGAACGAGAAAGGGAAAGAGAACGUGAACGAGAAAAAGAGAAGGAACGGGAGCGGGAACGCGAGCGGGAUAGGGAUCGCGACCGGACAAAGGAGCGAGAACGCGAUCGAGACCGGGACCGCGAGCGUGACCGAGACCGAGAACGGAGCUCUGAUCGGAAUAAGGAUCGGAGUCGAUCAAGAGAGAAGAGCCGAGACCGUGAACGGGAGCGAGAGCGAGAAAGAGAGCGAGAGCGAGAACGGGAAAGAGAGCGAGAGCGUGAGAGAGAGCGAGAGAGGGAACGGGAGCGCGAGAGAGAGAAAGACAAGAAACGUGACCGAGAGGAGGAUGAAGAAGAUGCAUAUGAAAGGAGAAAGCUGGAAAGAAAACUCCGAGAGAAGGAAGCUGCUUAUCAAGAGCGGCUUAAGAACUGGGAAAUCCGUGAACGAAAGAAAACCCGGGAAUAUGAAAAAGAAGCUGAACGAGAAGAAGAAAGGAGGAGAGAGAUGGCAAAAGAAGCUAAGCGAUUGAAAGAAUUCUUAGAAGAUUAUGAUGAUGAUAGAGAUGAUCCCAAGUAUUACAGGGGAAGUGCUCUUCAGAAAAGAUUGCGUGACAGGGAAAAGGAAAUGGAAGCAGAUGAACGUGAUAGGAAGAGAGAGAAGGAAGAACUGGAGGAAAUUAGGCAGCGUCUUCUGGCAGAAGGACACCCAGACCCAGAUGCAGAGCUCCAAAGGAUGGAGCAAGAGGCUGAGAGACGUAGACAACCACAAAUAAAGCAAGAACCAGAAUCAGAGGAAGAGGAGGAAGACGAGAAGAGCCUGUAGAAGAGGAAGAGGAACCAGAGCAGAAGCCUUGUCUGAAACCCACUCUGAGACCCAUCAGCUCUGCUCCAUCCGUUUCCUCUGCCAGUGGCAAUGCAACCCCCAACACACCUGCGGAUGAUUCUCCCUGCGGUAUUAUUAUUCCUCAUGAAAACUCACCUGAUCAACAACAGCCUGAAGAACAUAGGCCAAAAAUAGGACUUAGUCUUAAACUGGGUGCUUCCAAUAGUCCUGGCCAACCUAAUUCUGUGAAGAGAAAGAAGCUACCUGUAGAUAGUGUCUUUAACAAAUUUGAGGAUGAAGACAGUGACGAUGUACCCCGAAAAAGGAAACUGGUUCCUUUGGACUAUGGUGAAGAUGAUAAAAAUGCUGCCAAAGGCACAGUGAACACAGAAGAAAAGCGCAAGCACAUUAAAAGCCUCAUUGAGAAAAUUCCCACGGCCAAACCUGAGCUCUUUGCCUAUCCCCUUGAUUGGUCCAUUGUGGACUCAAUAUUGAUGGAACGCCGAAUUAGACCAUGGAUUAAUAAGAAAAUUAUAGAAUACAUAGGUGAAGAAGAAGCUACAUUAGUUGAUUUUGUUUGUUCUAAGGUUAUGGCUCAUAGUUCACCUCAGAGCAUUUUAGAUGAUGUAGCCAUGGUACUUGAUGAAGAAGCCGAAGUUUUUAUAGUCAAAAUGUGGAGACUAUUGAUAUAUGAAACAGAAGCUAAGAAAAUUGGUCUUGUGAAGUAAAACUGUUUUUAGUCUUCUCUUUGAUACUUCUUUCCCACCAUUCAGAGGACUUCGAAUUUUUCUUUGUCCUCAAAGACAUUUGUGAAAUCUGUAAUUUUUUUUCCAAUGUAGAAAAUGUGAAUUUUGUUUUGUCCUCCAAUUUGGUGAUGCCCCUGUGUACUCCCUUGGUUGUAAAUUCAUCUGAGUCUUAUCUUGGUUUUCUUUAUACUCACCAGGUACAAUUACUGGUAUGUUUUAUAAGCCGCAGCUACUGUACACAGCUAUCUGAUAUAAUCUUGUUCUGCUGAUUUGUUUUUGUAAAUAUUAAAAUGACUCCCCAAUUCUUUUGCAGAAUUGCACUUAAUAUUGAGCUGUACUGUUCAGGAAUGAACAGAAAUGAUUUUCAUUGAAAGAAUACCAGUCACAACUCUUCCCCCCUUUUAAUCAGAAAUAGCAAGUCCUCAUUGAAGGUGUGGAAUUUAAAAUUAGAAUUUAAGAAUUAGUGGACAAUCCAUUCCAUCUUUACUCCUGUAUGAAAGCGUUUGUGUGAUUGUGCAAAAGAUUUCUUUUCCCUCAAUUUGCUCUUUUG